rnacentral:tRNA from 1 species
AGCUCUGAGGUGUUUAACAUGUUAGAUUGCAAAUCUAGAGAAGUAGACGAGAGUCUACCGGGGCUU